rnacentral:rRNA from 1 species
UUUUAUUUGAGAGUUUGAUCCUGGCUCAGGAUGAACGCUGGCGGCGUGCCGAACACAUGCAAGUUGAGCGAUUUACUUCGGGAAAGAGCGGCGGACGGGUGAGUA